GGCCCAACCCCGUGAUGCGCCGGGAACUGCAGGGCUUGAGUACAGGAGGGGGCAUCGGAAUUCCUGGAGGAAGGGUGAAAUCUGUAGAUUUCAGGAAGAACACCGGUGGCGAAGGCGGAUGCCUGGCCAUGUACUGACGCUGAGGCGCGAAGGUGCGGGGAGCAAACAGGUUUAGAUACCCUGGUAGUCCGCACAGUAAACGAUGUGCACUGGCCGUCGGGAGCGAUCCCGGUGGCGAAGCAAACGCGUUAAGUGCACCGCCUGGGGAGUAUGCUCGCAAGGGUGAAACUCAAAGGAAUUGACGGGGGCCCGCACAAGCGGUGGAGCAUGUGGUUUAAUUCGAUGAUACGCGAGGAACCUUACCAGGGCUUGACAUAUGCCUGGAUCGCGGUGAAAGCCGGGAGCCCUUCGGGGCGGGCAUACAGGUGCUGCAUGGCUGUCGUCAGCUCGUGCUGUGAAGUGUGAGAUUAAGUUCUUCAACGAGCGCAACCCCUGCCGGCUGUUGCCAACAGGCAAAGCUGGGGACUCGGCCGGGACCGCCGGUGACAAACCGGAGGAAGGCGGGGACGACGUCAAGUCAUCAUGGCCCUUACGUCCUGGGCCACACACGUGCUACAAUGGCCGGUACAGAGCGAAGCGAAGCCGCGAGGCAGAGCGGACCGCAGAAAGCCGGUCUCAGUACGGACUGGAGGCUGCAACUCGCCUCCACGAAGUUGGAAUCGCUAGUAAUCGCGCAUCAGCAUGGCGCGGUGAAUACGUUCCCGGGCCUUGUACACACCGCCCGU
rnacentral:rRNA from 1 species